rnacentral:rRNA from 1 species
AUUGAACGCUGGCGGCAUGCCUUACACAUGCAAGUCGAACGGCAUCGCGGGAAAGCUUGCUUUCCUGGCGGCGAGUGGCGAACGGGUGAGUAACACAUCGGAACGUACCGGCUAUUGGGGGAUAACCCGUCGAAAGACGGGCUAAUACCGCAUACGCUCUUCGGAGGAAAGCGGGGGACCUUUUGGCCUUGCGCUCGUCUAGCUGCCGAUGUCCGAUUAGCUAGUUGGUGGGGUAAAGGGCUACCAAGGCGACGAUCGGUAGCGGGUCUGAGAGGACGAUCCGCCACACUGGGACUGAGACACGGCCCAGACUCCUACGGGAGGCAGCAGUGGGGAAUAUUGGACAAUGGGGGCAACCCUGAUCCAGCAAUGCCGCGUGGGUGAAGAAGGCCUUCGGGUUGUAAAGCCCUUUCGGCAGGGAAGAAAUCGGGGGGGCGAAUAACCCGGUUGGAUGACGGUACCUGAAGAAGAAGCACCGGCUAACUACGUG